UACGAAGGGGGCUAGCGUUGUUCGGAUUUACUGGGCGUAAAGAGCGCGCAGGCGGUCGUUCAAGUCGAGUGUGAAAGCCCCCGGCUCAACUGGGGAGGGUCACUCGAUACUGAUCGACUCGAAGGCAGGAGAGGGAAGUGGAAUUCCCGGUGUAGUGGUGAAAUGCGUAGAUAUCGGGAGGAACACCGGUGGCGAAGGCGGUUCUCUGGGCCUGUACUGACGCUGAGGAGCGAAAGCGUGGGGAGCGAACAGG
rnacentral:rRNA from 1 species